GUCGUCAGCUCGUGUCGUGAGAUGUUGGGUUAAGUCCGCAACGAGCGCACCCCUGCAUUCAGUUGCCAACGGUAAGGCCGGGCACUCUGGAUGGACUGCCGGCGACAAGCCGGAGGAAGGUGGGGAUGACGUCAAGUCAUCAUGGCCCUUAUGUCCAGGGCGACACACGUGCUACAAUGGCCGGCACAGCGGGAAGCGAGGGGGCGACCUUGAGCGGAUCCCUCAAAGCCGGUCUCAGUUCGGAUUGCAGUCUGCAACUCGACUGCAUGAAGUUGGAAUCGCUAGUAAUCGUGGAUCAGCCAAGCCGCGGUGAAUACGUUCCCGGGCCUU
rnacentral:rRNA from 1 species